AUGAAAUACAUGUAUAUGCCACUGAAUGUAAAGCAAACAACAACCAAGAGAAAUAAGAUGUGGUAUGAGUGCCAAUAGAACAAUUAUCCCUCCUAGUCGCAAUAUAUUAAAAGUAAACAAUGAUAGGUCAAAUAAAGGCAACAGUAGUAUACCACUGUUCAAAAUUCAUAAAUCCAUGGACAAAAAACAAAAUCGGGGUAACAAACUAAAACUGAGGGAAACACAUUAAAUAUGAGAGGAGAACAACGACACAACAUUAAAAUGUAAUAGGUCAAAGUGUUGCCUUAAACAUGACAAGUUUAGAUUAAUUCAAACAGGAAAAACUGAACCAUCUACAUGUGUAACUUAUAUAAAAAAUGAGAGGAACAAAAAAGACUUAUGAACCACAUCAACAAAUGACAACCACUGAACAGGCGUUAUGAAAAUAUGUUAUAAAAUAGUAUGUGAUGUAGAUUGUUCUGAGUUCAUCGAUGACAUAGCAACUAAAAAAAAACACAUUUAGUAAACAGCAGAC
rnacentral:lncRNA from 1 species